AGAGUUUGAUCAUGGCUCAGGAUGAACGCUGGCGGUAUGCCUAACACAUGCAAGUCGUACGAGAGUUUUUAACUCUAGUGGCGGACGGGUGAGUAACACGUAAGAAUUUACCUUCAGGAGGGGGAUAACAAUUGGAAACAAAUGCUAAUACCCCAUAUGCUUUCGAGUGAAAUGGAUUUAUAUUUAUCCGCCUAAAGAGAAGCUUGCGUCUGAUUAGCUUGUUGGUAAGGUAAAAGCUUACCAAGGCGACGAUCAGUAUCUGGUUUGAGAGGACGAUCAGACACACUGGAACUGAGACNCGGUCCAGACUCCUACGGGAGGCAGCAGUGGGGAAUUUUCCGCAAUGGGCGAAAGCCUGACGGAGCAAUACCGCGUGAGGGAAGACUGCCUAUGGGUUGUAAACCUCUUUUUUCAGGGGA
rnacentral:rRNA from 1 species